rnacentral:rRNA from 1 species
AUGUCUCUGGAGUCGUCCAUCGCUCUCCUUCGCCACCUCACCGUGCUCACCCUCGUUGCUCUCGUCCCUUCUUCGGCCGCACUUAGCUUCAUCUACAACGGCUUCCAGCACGCCGCCGACCUGAGCCUAGACGGCUCGGCGUCCAUCUUGCGCGGCGGCGCGCUUCAGCUCACCAACGACAGCAACAACCUCAUGGGCCACGCCUUCUUCGCGGCGCCAGUGCCAAUGCUCGUGAACAAGGCGGUCAUCUCCUUCAGCACGGCCUUCGUCUUCGACAUCGUUACUGUCGGCAGAAGCGGCGGCCAUGGACUCGCUUUCGUGGUCGCGGCUUCCAAGGUGCUCCCCGGGGCAAGUGACGAGCAGUACCUUGGCCUCCUCGGCAAAGGAAAUCUGGGCAACUCCUCGAACCACGUUUUCGCCGUCGAGUUGGACACGGUGCAGGCGAACGGGCUCCUGAACGAGACGAACGCCAACCACGUCGGCGUCGACUUGAACAGCCUCGUGUCCAACGUGUCGGAGCCGGCCGCCUACUUCACCGAUGACGACGGCAGGAGCGUCUCCGUGCCGCUCGGGAGCGCGCAGCCGAUCCAGGCGUGGGUGGACUACGACGGCAGCGCCAAGGUCCUCAACGUGACCAUCGCUCCCGCGUCCUUGCAAACGCGGCCUCGCCGGCCGCUUAUAUCGCAGGUCAUUGACCUCUCGCCGAUCUUUAAGGAAGACAUGUACGUCGGUUUCUCGGCGGCGACAGGGAAGUUGGCGAGCUCGCAUUACGUUCUUGCCUGGAGCUUCCGUACCGACGGAGUCGCGCAAGCCAUCGAUCUCUCCCGGCUGCCGAAAGUCCCAAAGGCGCCGGCUCCUCCACCUUCCACGUCCACCAUCAUCAAGAUCGUCGCUCUGUCUUGCGCCGCCACGCUGGUCAUGGUCGUCGCCGCCAUCGGUGCCGCGUUUUGGCUGCGGAGAAGGGCGGCGCUGGCCGAGACGCUUGAGGAGUGGGAGCUGGAUCACCCGCACAGGUUGCCAUACAAGGAGCUGUACAAGGCGACGAAGGGGUUCAAGAACAGUGAGCUCCUGGGCGCCGGUGGCUUCGGCCAGGUGUACAGAGGCGUGCUCCGGCGCUCUGGCAACACGGUGGCCAUCAGGAGGAUCUCAAGCAACGGGUCGCAGGGGAUGCGCGAGUUCGUCGCCGAGGUCGCGAGCCUCGGGCGCAUGCGGCACCGGAACCUGGUCGAGCUGCGCGGGUGGUGCAAGCACGGGCAAGACCUGCUUCUGGUCUACGACUUCAUGCCCAACGGCAGCCUCGAAGCGCACCUGUUCGGCAGUGCCGGCGCCGGCGCCGGCGUCGGCGUGUCCCCGUCGCCGGCGUUGCUCACGUGGGAGCAGCGUUUGAGGAUCCUCAGGGGCGUCGCGUCCGGGCUGGUGUACCUGCACGAGGGGUGGGAGCAGGUGGUGGUGCACCGCGACGUCAAGGCCAGCAACGUGCUGCUGGGCGCGGACAUGAGCGCGCGGCUCGGCGACUUCGGCCUCGCGCGCCUCUACGAGCACGGCGCGGAACCUGCCACGACUCGCGUCGUCGGGACGCUGGGCUACAUGGCGCCGGAGCUCACCGUGACUGGCAAGGCCACCACGGCCAGCGACGUGUUCGGCUUCGGCGGCCUGCUUCUCGAGGUGGCGAGCGGGCGGCGGCCCAUCGACCCCAUCACCGGCGUGAACCUGGUGCGCUGGGUCCGAGACCACGGCGUCAAGGGCGACCUGGUGCGAGCCGUGGACGAGAGGCUCGACGGGUGGUAUGACAAGGAGGAGGUGAGGCUGGUGCUGUGGCUGGGUCUCGCUUGCAGCCAGUGGCGGCCGGAGGCACGGCCUAGCAUGAGGCAGGUUUGCCAGUACCUCAACGGCGAGGAGGAAAUGCAGGAGGAUGCCGUGCUCGUCUUCUCAGACGUCGACUCCAUCGACUUCGGCUCCUUGACGUCGCUGACAUGGUCGUCAUCAUGUCAGUCAUGUGCAACAAUGUCGGCGGGCUCACUGCGCCGUGGACGGUGA